AAUGAACGCUGGCGGCAUGCCUAAUACAUGCAAGUCGAACGGAAACACAGGAAGCUCUCUCCUCUACGGUUGGCGGCUGACGGAUGGGUAACGCAUAGAUAGGAAUCCUCUUAUACUGGGGUGACAUCGGGGGGAAAGUGCUGCUAAUGGCUCAUAUAUCGAACCGGUUGAAUCAAUGGUUCUAGAGGGUUUUGCUGACUCAAUUAGAUGAAUCCGGGUCGGAUUAGCUAGUUGGUAAGGUAACGGCCCACCAAGGCGACGAUGCGUAGCCGAUCUGAGAGGAUGAUCAGCCACACUGGAACUGAGACACGGUCCAGACUCCUACGGGAGGCAGCAGUGGGGAAUAUUGGACAAUGGGCGCAAGCCUGAUCCAGCCAUACCGCGUGGGUGAAGAAGGCCUUCGGGUUGUAAAGCCCUUUUGUUGGGAAAGAAAAGCAGCAGGUUAAUACCCCGCUGUUCUGACGGUACCCAAAGAAUAAGCACCGGCUAACUUCGUG
rnacentral:rRNA from 1 species